rnacentral:rRNA from 1 species
GCAGCGAAACGCGAUAGUUAAUGUGAAUUGCAGAAUUCAGUGAAUCAUCGAGUCUUUGAACGCACAUUGCGCCCAUAGGUAUUCCUUUGGGCAUGUCUGUUUGAGCGUCAUUACAACCCUCAGCGCAAGCUGGUUAUGAGUUGGCUGCAACCUCGUUCCGAAAGGGACAGGUGAAAUCCGGCUUUAAAGUUGUAUGCUCUGCUGGCUGCUUUGCCUGACCAAAACAUAGUAAAACUUACGACUGUUUACAGAACGGCUUUGCUUGCUCGGCCUGAAUAAAACCCAACAUUUCUUAGGUUUGACCUCAGAUCAGAUAAGGAUACCCGCUGAACUUAAGCAUAUCAAUAAGCGGAGGAAAAGAAACCAACAGGGAUUGCCUCAGUAACGGCGAGUGAAGCGGCAACAGCUCAAAUUUGAAAUCUGGAGUCUUCGACUUCCGAGUUGUAAUUUGAAGAGGAUGUUUCGGUUGGGACCACGGUCUAAGUUCCUUGGAACAGGACGUCGUAGAGGGUGAGAAUCCCGUACACGGCUGAUGGUCUCCUUCCAUGUG